rnacentral:rRNA from 1 species
UGCCCCAGUAACGGCGAGUGAAGCGGCAACAGCUCAAAUUUGAAAUCUGGCUCUCGGGCCCGAGUUGUAAUUUGUAGAGGAUGCUUUUGGUGAGGUGCCUUCCGAGUUCCCUGGAACGGGACGCCAUAGAGGGUGAGAGCCCCGUCUGGUUGGACGCCGAACCUCUGUAAAGCUCCUUCGACGAGUCGAGUAGUUUGGGAAUGCUGCUCUAAAUGGGAGGUAUAUGUCUUCUAAAGCUAAAUACCGGCCAGAGACCGAUAGCGCACAAGUAGAGUGAUCGAAAGAUGAAAAGAACUUUGAAAAGAGAGUUAAACAGUACGUGAAAUUGUUGAAAGGGAAGCGCUUGUGACCAGACUUGGGCUUGGUUGAUCAUCCGGGGUUCUCCCCGGUGCACUCUUCCGGCCCAGGCCAGCAUCAGUUCGCCCUGGGGGACAAAGGCUUCGGGAACGUGGCUCUCUCCGGGGAGUGUUAUAGCCCGUUGCGUAAUACCCUGUGGCGGACUGAGGUUCGCGCAUUCGCAAGGAUGCUGGCGUAAUGGUCAUCAGUGACCCGUCUUGAAACACGGACCAAGGAGUCGUCUUCGUAUGCGAGUGUUCGGGUGUCAAACCCCUACGCGAAAUGAAAGUGAACGCAGGUGAGAGCUUCGGCGCAUCAUCGACCGAUCCUGAUGUUAUCGGAUGGAUUUGAGUAAGAGCAUACGGGGCCGGACCCGAAAGAAGGUGAACUAUGCCUGUGUAGGGUGAAGCCAGAGGAAACUCUGGUGGAGGCUCGCAGCGGUUCUGACGUGCAAAUCGAUCGUCAAACAUGG